rnacentral:rRNA from 1 species
AUUGAACGCUGGCGGCAUGCCUUACACAUGCAAGUCGAACGGCAGCAUGGAAGAGCUUGCUCUUCUGAUGGCGAGUGGCGAACGGGUGAGUAAAGCAUCGGAACGUACCGUGUAAUGGGGGAUAACGUAGCGAAAGUUACGCUAAUACCGCAUACGACCUGAGGGUGAAAGCAGGGGAUCGCAAGACCUUGCGUUAUACGAGCGGCCGAUGUCAGAUUAGCUAGUUGGUGAGGUAAAGGCUCACCAAGGCGACGAUCUGUAGCGGGUCUGAGAGGAUGAUCCGCCACACUGGGACUGAGACACGGCCCAGACUCCUACGGGAGGCAGCAGUGGGGAAUUUUGGACAAUGGGGGCAACCCUGAUCCAGCCAUGCCGCGUGAGUGAAGAAGGCCUUCGGGUUGUAAAGCUCUUUCGGCCGGGAAGAAAUCGCACAGGCUAAUACUCUGUGUGGAUGACGGUACCGUAAGAAUAAGCACCGGCUAACUACGUGCCAGCAGCCGCGGUAA